rnacentral:rRNA from 1 species
GAUGAACGCUGGCGGCGGGCUUAACACAUGCAAGUCGAACGGGAUCAAAGGGGGGUUUGCCUUUUUUGGGAGGGGUGUGGACGGGGGGGGAACAAGGUAAGUAACUGUUCUUUUUCUUGGGGGUAACCGUUGGAAAGGUUGUUAAAACCCUUAUUUCCUUCUUCCCUCGAAUGGGGGGGGUGGUAAGGCCUUGGGCGGGUUUUGGGUGGGCUGGCGGGGUAUCGGCUUGUUGGGGGGGUGAUGGCUUACAAAGGCUUUGCGGGGUAGCGGUCCUGAGAGGGUGGUCGGUCACAUUGGGACUGAGAUACGGCCCAGACGCCUGCGGGAGGCAGCAGUGGGGGAUAUUGGACAAUGGGCGAAAGCCUGAUGCAGCGACGCCGCGUGGGGGAUGAAGGCCUUCGGGUUGUAAACGUCUUUUGCUCUGAACAAGGCAUGCCAGUGGGUGUGUUGAGUGUAGGGGUGGAUUAGCGCCGGCUAACUACGUG